UUUCCUGAGGGAAACGUAGAUUUUAAGAAUGAUAAACCAGAUUCUAGUUGUUCUGAAUUCCGGGUAAAAAGAGAGUCGGCUGAGGGACAUCGAACCUAAACUUGAAGAAGAAGAUGAAGAUACUCUUCUCCGUCUAAAAGCAAAACUGUACCGAUUUGAUAAAGAUGGAAAUCAGUGGAAAGAAAGAGGAGUUGGUAUUCUUAAGCUCCUUAAACAUAAACAAACUAAAAAAAAUCGUCUGGUUGUGCGAUAAUCUAUGACGCUGAAGGUUCUUGCUAAUCAUCUAGGUUCGUUUUGGGUUUUUCUGUUUUUUCUUUUUUGAAGCUUGGAUUUGAUCUGUGCAUGAGAUCUGAUUUAGUUUGAUUUGUAGUUGUUCCCACAAUUCCGACUCUAAUACAUACUCCGAGUAUUAUGAGUCAGAAUGCAUUGACAUGGCAUGCUAGUGAUUUUUCUGAUGGUGAAGCGAAAGAAGAGGUGUUCUGUGCUCGAUUUGCAUGCUCUGAGAAUGCUAGAUUAUUUAGGAAAACCUUCCUAGCUGCAGGCUGCUAUUGAGUCUCAAGUGCAGAAAUAUGAAGAGAGCAAGGGAGGCGCUACAGUACACCGUAUGAGAUUUUUUUUAAAGAGAUACCUGACGGUGGAGAGGGAAAACAAAAAUCUUGAAGUCUUAAUAUAGUCCAUCUUGGUAUUUUAGGAACGUCUCGUCUGAAAUUGGUAUUUUUUGUUCAUAUAAGUACCGACAAGGCAAUUCUGCUGCUGCCUCCUAGUUUUUUUUUUGGGCUAGUAUUU